GACAGAGGGUGCAAACGUUGUUCGGAAUUACUGGGCGUAAAGCGCGUGUAGGCGGCAUGACAAGUCGGGUGUGAAAGCCCUGGGCUCAACCCAGGAAGUGCACUCGAUACUGUCGUGCUAGAGUCCCGGAGAGGGUGGUGGAACUCUCGGUGUAGAGGUGAAAUUCGUAGAUAUCGAGAAGAACACCGGUGGCGAAGGCGGCCACCUGGACGGUGACUGACGCUGGGACGCGAAAGCGUGGGGAGCAAACAGG
rnacentral:rRNA from 1 species